rnacentral:rRNA from 1 species
AGUGAGCGCUGGCGGCAGGCCUAACACAUGCAAGUCGAACGGCAGCACAGUAAGAGCUUGCUCUUACGGGUGGCGAGUGGCGGACGGGUGAGGAAUACAUCGGAAUCUACUUUUUCGUGGGGGAUAACGUAGGGAAACUUACGCUAAUACCGCAUGCGACCUACGGGUGAAAGCAGGGGAUCUUCGGACCUUGCGCGAUUGAAUGAGCCGAUGUCGGAUUAGCUAGUUGGCGGGGUAAAGGCCCACCAAGGCGACGAUCCGUAGCUGGUCUGAGAGGAUGAUCAGCCACACUGGAACUGAGACACGGUCCAGACUCCUACGGGAGGCAGCAGUGGGGAAUAUUGGACAAAGGGCGCAAGCCUGAUCCAGCCAUACCGCGUGGGUGAAGAAGGCCUUCGGGUUGUAAAGCCCUUUUGUUGGGAAAGAAAAGCAGCAGGUUAAUACCCCGCUGUUCUGACGGUACCCAAAGAAUAAGCACCGGCUAACUUCGUG